rnacentral:rRNA from 1 species
GACAGAGGGUGCAAACGUUGUUCGGAAUUACUGGGCGUAAAGCGUGUGUAGGCGGCCAGGCAAGUCGGAUGUGAAAGCCCCGGGCUCAACCCGGGAAGUGCACUCGAAACUGCUUGGCUUGAGUAUCGGAGAGGUUGGUGGAAUUCUCGGUGUAGAGGUGAAAUUCGUAGAUAUCGAGAGGAACACCGGUGGCGAAGGCGGCCAACUGGACGAAUACUGACGCUGAGACACGAAAGCGUGGGGAGCAAACAGG